GGGCUGGUAGCUCAGUUGGUAGAGCAUCUGGCUCUUAACCAGUUGGUCGUGGGUUCGAAUCCCACCCAGCCCACCA
rnacentral:tRNA from 3 species